UUGCUGUGCACUACUUAGUAC
rnacentral:miRNA from 1 species